UACGUAGGGGGCAAGCGUUGUCCGGAUUUAUUGGGCGUAAAGAGCGUGUAGGCGGCCUGACAGGUCUGCUGUGAAAACUCGAGGCUCAACCUCGAGAUGUCGGCGGAAACCGUCUGGCUAGAGUCCGGAAGAGGAGAGUGGAAUUCCUGGUGUAGCGGUGAAAUGCGCAGAUAUCAGGAAGAACACCUAUGGCGAAAGCGGCUCUCUGGGACGGUACUGACGCUGAGACGCGAAAGCGUGGGGAGCAAACAGG
rnacentral:rRNA from 1 species